rnacentral:rRNA from 1 species
GAUUAAGUUAUUAAGGGCGCACGGUGGAUGCCUUGGCACUAGAAGCCGAUGAAGGACGUUACUAACGACGAUAUGCUUUGGGGAGCUGUAAGUAAGCUUUGAUCCAGAGAUUUCCGAAUGGGGAAACCCAGCAUGAGUUAUGUCAUGUUAUCGAUAUGUGAAUACAUAGCAUAUCAGAAGGCACACCCGGAGAACUGAAACAUCUUAGUACCCGGAGGAAGAGAAAGAAAAUUCGAUUCCCUUAGUAGCGGCGAGCGAAACGGGAAGAGCCCAAACCAACAAGCUUGCUUGUUGGGGUUGUAGGACACUCUAUACGGAGUUACAAAGGACGACAUUAGACGAAUCAUCUGGAAAGAUGAAUCAAAGAAGGUAAUAAUCCUGUAGUCGAAAAUGUUGUCUCUCUUGAGUGGAUCCUGAGUACGACGGAGCACGUGAAAUUCCGUCGGAAUCUGGGAGGACCAUCUCCUAAGGCUAAAUACUCUCUAGUGACCGAUAGUGAACCAGUACCGUGAGGGAAAGGUGAAAAGCACCCCGGAAGGGGAGUGAAAUAGAACCUGAAACCGUGUGCUUACAAGUAGUCAGAGCCCGUUAAUGGGUGAUGGCGUGCCUUUUGUAGAAUGAACCGGCGAGUUACGAUUUGAUGCAAGGUUAAGCAGUAAAUGUGGAGCCGUAGCGAAAGCGAGUCUGAAUAGGGCGUUUAGUAUUUGGUCGUAGACCCGAAACCAGGUGAUCUACCCUUGGUCAGGUUGAAGUUCAGGUAACACUGAAUGGAGGACCGAACCGACUUACGUUGAAAAGUGAGCGGAUGAACUGAGGGUAGCGGAGAAAUUCCAAUCGAACCUGGAGAUAGCUGGUUCUCUCCGAAAUAGCU